GCCAGCACUAGACUUCUCAAUCUCUUUGUAAGUUGCAAAUUGCCUCAUUAGCUCUAGUAGUGCCCAAUUCAAUACCACAAUGAUGAUAUGUACAAAUCCAUUUCAACAAUGACAUCAAAAGUUCUUCAAGUACAAAAUUCUGGUUUGGUGAAAAUUAAAAUUGUAACGAGUGGAGAGUUCUCUAACUUUGGGAUAACUUUCAAGAUGGACCAGCUAGCAAUAGACAGUCUCCAACAUGUCAAUGUGGUCAUCAUAUAUUGACAUGGUCAAGUUCAGACAAUGUUUGAUUCAAUUGAAUGGAGGAGCUCUUUAACUAUUCUUAGUUUUGACAUCCAGCAGAAGUUGGUCCCAAUUUUUAAAGGC
rnacentral:misc_RNA from 1 species